rnacentral:rRNA from 1 species
CGGAGGAUCCAAGCGUUAUCCGGAAUCAUUGGGUUUAAAGGGUCCGUAGGCGGGUUUAUAAGUCAGUGGUGAAAGCCCAUCGCUCAACGAUGGAACGGCCAUUGAUACUGUAGAUCUUGAAUUAUUAGGAAGUAACUAGAAUAUGUAGUGUAGCGGUGAAAUGCUUAGAGAUUACAUGGAAUACCAAUUGCGAAGGCAGGUUACUACUAAUGGAUUGACGCUGAUGGACGAGAGCGUGGGUAGCGAACAGGAUUAGAUACCCUGGUAGUCCACGCCGUAAACGAUGGAUACUAGCUGUUCGGAGCAAUCUGAGUGGCUAAGCGAAAGUGAUAAGUAUCCCACUGGGGAGUACGUUCGCAAGAAUG